rnacentral:rRNA from 1 species
AGUGAACGCUGGCGGUAGGCCUAACACAUGCAAGUCGAACGGCAGCACAGUAAGAGCUUGCUCUUACGGGUGGCGAGUGGCGGACGGGUGAGGAAUACAUCGGAAUCUACUUUUUCGUGGGGGAUAACGUAGGGAAACUUACGCUAAUACCGCAUACGACCUACGGGUGAAAGCAGGGGAUCUUCGGACCUUGCGCGAUUGAAUGAGCCGAUGUCGGAUUAGCUAGUUGGCGGGGUAAAGGCCCACCAAGGCGACGAUCCGUAGCUGGUCCGAGAGGAUGAUCAGCCACACUGAAACUGAGACACGGUCCAGACUCCUACGGGAGGCAGCAGUGGGGAAUAUUGGACAAUGGGCGCAAGCCUGAUCCAGCCAUACCGCGUGGGUGAAGAAGGCCUUCGGGUUGUAAAGCCCUUUUGUUGGGAAAGAAAAGCAGCAGGUUAAUACCCCGCUGUUCUGACGGUACCCAAAGAAUAAGCACCGGCUAACUUCGU